UCUUCUUUGCAGACCAACCUAAAGUUGUGGAUGCUGAAACUCAGAAAGGUGUUAAAUUACGUCGCAAAGGCUUUUGGAGACGACGACGGCGACUGAUCACGCCUCACAGGAUUUUGCUUGACUGAAGGUUAACUAGCAAGAUGUCCAAGACUAGACCUCUGGGCUUUUUUUAAUUUUUAUCAUUUUUUUCUUUUUCUUUUGUAUAAAAAAAACCCACAACAACAACAACAAAACACAACAACAACAACAAAACAAAAAAAACAAAAAAAAAACACAGACUAGACUGCUCGGCAUUUAAUGUAGUUAAUGUGUUGUACAUAUAGGUUUUGCCUAAAAUGCUUUUUAUUAAAAUCCGAUGCAUUUAA